CCCUCGUAGUACUCGCCAUAAAAUAUGAUUACUCGACAUCUGUGAUUCACUGUAAGUGUCUGAGAGAAAGCAUUAAGUAAUCCACCUGGGAAGUACGUCCGCAAGGAUGAAACUGAAAAGAAUCGGCGGGGGUCCGCACAACCGGUGGAGCAUCUGGUUUAAUUAGAUGAUACGAGAGGAGCCUUCCUUCGGCGAGAAGGCUGGGAGAUUGUUAGUGAAAGAUCAUUUUGUAACAAUACACGGCCAGCAAGGUGCUGCAUGGCUGUCGUCAGUUCGUGCCGUGAGGUGUUGGGUUAAGUCCCGCAACGAGCGCAACCCCUAUCAUUAGUUGCCAUCAGGUCAAGCUGGGAACUCUAAUGAAAUUGCCGCCGUAAGGCGUGAGGAAGGAGGGGAUGAUGUCAAGUCAUCAUGGCCUUUAUGCCCAGGGCUACACACGUGUUACAAUCACAGGACAAAGGGUUGCCACAUAGCGAUGGGCGCGAAUCCCAAAAACCUGUUUUCAGUUCGGAUUGGAGUCCCAACUCGACUCCAUGAAGCUGGAAUCGAUAGUUAUCGUAUAUCAGCAAUGAUACGUUGAAUACGUUCCCGGACCUUUCACACACCGCCCGUCAAGCCAUGGGAGCCGGGUGUACCAAAAGUCGGUAACCGCAAGGAGCUGCCUAGGGUAAAAUCGGUGACUGGGGCUAAGUCGUAACAAGGUA
rnacentral:rRNA from 1 species